UUGAAGAGUUUGAUCAUGGCUCAGAUUGAACGCUGGCGGCAGGCCUAACACAUGCAAGUCGAACGGUAACAGGAAGCAGCUUGCUGCUUUGCUGACGAGUGGCGGACGGGUGAGUAAUGUCUGGGAAACUGCCUGAUGGAGGGGGAUAACUACUGGAAACGGUAGCUAAUACCGCAUAACGUCGCAAGACCAAAGAGGGGGACCUUCGGGCCUCUUGCCAUCGGAUGUGCCCAGAUGGGAUUAGCUAGUAGGUGGGGUAACGGCUCACCUAGGCGACGAUCCCUAGCUGGUCUGAGAGGAUGACCAGCCACACUGGAACUGAGACACGGUCCAGACUCCUACGGGAGGCAGCAGUGGGGAAUAUUGCACAAUGGGCGCAAGCCUGAUGCAGCCAUGCCGCGUGUAUGAAGAAGGCCUUCGGGUUGUAAAGUACUUUCAGCGGGGAGGAAGGGAGUAAAGUUAAUACCUUUGCUCAUUGACGUUACCCGCAGAAGAAGCACCGGCUAACUCCGUGCCAGCAGCCGCGGUAAUACGGAGGGUGCAAGCGUUAAUCGGAAUUACUGGGCGUAAAGCGCACGCAGGCGGUUUGUUAAGUCAGAUGUGAAAUCCCCGGGCUCAACCUGGGAACUGCAUCUGAUACUGGCAAGCUUGAGUCUCGUAGAGGGGGGUAGAAUUCCGGUGUAGCGGUGAAAUGCGUAGAGAUCUGGAGGAAUACCGGUGGCGAAGGCGGCCCCCUGGACGAAGACUGACGCUCAGGUGCGAAAGCGUGGGGAGCAAACAGGAUUAGAUACCCUGGUAGUCCACGCCGUAAACGAUGUCGACUUGGAGGUUGUGCCCUUGAGGCGUGGCUUCCGGAGCUAACGCGUUAAGUCGACCGCCUGGGGAGUACGGCCGCAAGGUUAAAACUCAAAUGAAUUGACGGGGGCCCGCACAAGCGGUGGAGCAUGUGGUUUAAUUCGAUGCAACGCGAAGAACCUUACCUGGUCUUGACAUCCACGGAAGUUUUCAGAGAUGAGAAUGUGCCUUCGGGAACCGUGAGACAGGUGCUGCAUGGCUGUCGUCAGCUCGUGUUGUGAAAUGUUGGGUUAAGUCCCGCAACGAGCGCAACCCUUAUCCUUUGUUGCCAGCGGUCCGGCCGGGAACUCAAAGGAGACUGCCAGUGAUAAACUGGAGGAAGGUGGGGAUGACGUCAAGUCAUCAUGGCCCUUACGACCAGGGCUACACACGUGCUACAAUGGCGCAUACAAAGAGAAGCGACCUCGCGAGAGCAAGCGGACCUCAUAAAGUGCGUCGUAGUCCGGAUUGAGUCUGCAACUCGACUCCAUGAAGUCGGAAUCGCUAGUAAUCGUGGAUCAGAAUGCCACGGUGAAUACGUUCCCGGGCCUUGUACACACCGCCCGUCACACCAUGGGAGUGGGUUGCAAAAGAAGUAGGUAGCUUAACCUUCGGGAGGGCGCUUACCACUUUGUGAUUCAUGACUGGGGUGAAGUCGUAACAAGGUAACCGUAGGGGAACCUGCGGUUGGAUCACCUCCUU
rnacentral:rRNA from 1 species